rnacentral:rRNA from 1 species
UACGUAGGGUGCAAGCGUUAAUCGGAAUUACUGGGCGUAAAGCGUGCGCAGGCGGUUUUGUAAGUUUGUCGUGAAAUCCCCGGGCUCAACCUGGGAAUGGCGAUGAAGACUGCAAGGCUAGAGUUUGGCAGAGGGGGAUGGAAUUCCGCGUGUAGCAGUGAAAUGCGUAGAUAUGCGGAGGAACACCGAUGGCGAAGGCAAUCCCCUGGACCUGUACUGACGCUCAUGCACGAAAGCGUGGGGAGCAAACAGG